GUCGAGAAUCUUUCACAAUGGGGGCAACCCUGAUGGAGCGACGCCGCGUGGAGGAUAAGGUCUUCGGAUUGUAAACUCCUGUCAUGCGUGAACAAGGUUGCUUGGUUAAUACCUGGGCAAAUUGAUGGUAACGCAAGAGGAAGAGACGGCUAACUCUGUGCCAGCAGCCGCGGUAAUACAGAGGUCUCAAGCGUUGUUCGGAAUCACUGGGCGUAAAGGGUGCGUAGUUGGCGUGGUAAGUCAGAUGUGAAAGCCCGGGGCUCAACCUCGGAACUGCAUCCGAUACUGCCAUGCUAGAGGACUGGAGAGGUGACUAGAAUUCUCGGUGUAGCAGUGAAAUGCGUAGAUAUCGAGAGGAAUACCAAAGGCGUAGGCAGGUCACUGGACAGUUACUGACACUGAGGCACGAAGGCCAGGGGAGCGAACGGGAUUAGAAACCCCUGUAGUCC
rnacentral:rRNA from 1 species